rnacentral:rRNA from 1 species
UACGGGGGGGGCAAGCGUUGUUCGGAAUUACUGGGCGUAAAGGGUUCGUAGGUGGCUUGCUAAGUCAGACGUGAAAUCCCUCGGCUCAACCGGGGAACUGCGUCUGAGACUGGCGAGCUUGAGUGCAGGAGAGGAACGCAGAAUUCCAGGUGUAGCGGUGAAAUGCGUUGAUAUCGAUAGGAACGCCGGUGGCGAAGGCGGCAUACUGGACCACCACUGACGCUGAUGCGCGAAAGCCAGGGGAGCAAACGGG